AUUUUUACGCUGUUAAAAGAUUUGGUGUCCAUGUUAUUAUCUUGUUGUUUAACGUGGAUAUUAUUCCUGGGCGGGAACAUUAUUUCCCAACAUCAUUUGGUCAAAUGUGACUCACCCCAUUUCGACCCAAGUAAAUUUUGAACGAGUUGGCUCUUGUUUUAUAAUGCGAUUCAUUUUGACCCAACCCCUGCGGUUGCCACCUUAUCACUCUAUUUGGCUCCAUAUUAUGUUUCUUUUUUCAUUUCUAUAUUUAUCCAGCGUGACAGAUAAAUGCCUCUAAUUUCAUACCGUCGAGGCAAAGUGAUGCUUUUCUUCUUUAGGCCCCUUUAAAUUUCUCUCACGAAUCUUGGUUUAGAUGAGCCACUGCUUUCAUACUAAUUUUGCUUAUUCUUUCAACGACCAAAACCGGAGUAGUUAAAUUUUCGUUUAUUUACAUUAAGAGGUUUUGGUUUCGAGCUUUGAGAAUGGAAUCCGAAUUAAUCUCCUAAAGUGGGUAUUGGACACCCAACACUAGAUGGGAAAGCCCAAAAAGAAAAAACAUCCCACACUAUAUUAAAAAAUCAUCCCCGUCCUCCGUCAACACUUAGCUAUUUUCCAUGUAGCAAGUUAUAUGUUUUAAUCCAGUAUUUUGAGGUUCGAGAAAGUCCUCCUUAUGAUGGUACGGAAUCAAGAAUAAAGUGCAUGGUGAUUGGGCAGGAGGAUGGGCAGUGCGUGGGUCAAAAAAAUAAGGCAUUAUAUAUAUUACACCAAUUAUUUUCUAAAAUCAAGAAGUUGAAAAACACUCAAAAGACUUUUCUUUCUCUGCUCCUGUAAAGAAGUAGCGCAAGUGGGAGCUUUUUGAGA